CCCCCGUCACGUGACCAGCUUGCGGCUUCCCUGCCCUGCCCGCCCCGCGCCGCGCCGCGCCGCUCUGCCCCCGAGGGAGGGGCCCGGCCGGGCUGUUGCGCCGCGCGGCAUGGAGCUGUUCAUCCCGUCCUUCCGCUACGAGGACAGCGACCUGGAGCGCGGAUACACGGUCUUCAAGAUUGAGGUGCUUGUAAAUGGAAGAAAACAUUUUGUCGAGAAGAGGUAUAGUGAGUUUCACGCUCUCCACAAAAAGCUCAAGAAGUUUAUCAGAACUCCAGAAAUCCCCUCAAAGCAUGUAAGGAACUGGGUCCCUAAGGUCCUGGAGCAGCGGCGACAAGGUUUGGAAUUAUAUUUACAGACCAUAAUUUCAGAAAAUGAAGAGCUUCCCAAAAUAUUACUCGACUUCCUCAAUGUUCGUCACGUGCCUUCUCUGCCAAAGGCAGAAAGUUGUGGGUCUUUUGAUGAAACAGAAUCUGAGGAAUCAAGCAAACUGUCCCACCAGCCUGUGCUGCUGUUCCUAAGGGAUCCAUAUGUCUUGCCUAAAGCCAAUGGUAAUCAAACCUGUCAUCUGUUAACAGCUCUUUACUGAUCUGACCCUAUACCACAGAAACCGCAUUAUUAUUAAUACAGGACUUGCUGAGCGACACUGGUCCAAAUUCUAAUAACCUGCCAAUAAAGCACUAGUUCUCGUAUAAAAGACCUUUAAAAUCCUAAUUGGAGCAGAUGAUUUAUAUGAAGAUGCAAUUUUUUCUCAAUUGUUCUGCUAACCAAAUCUACUGUGAACUCAAUUAACAAAACCAAAAAAGACUUACUCUGCUGCUUCUCUUUCUUUUGACAGUGUCUCUUGUUUUGCCUUCAGGGUUUGACCUUGAAGGUCCAGUUCUUUAUAAGUGUUUUUUUCUAAAUGCUUGUCAAUCUGCUAUUAGCACUUUUUGUAUUGCUACUUGGAUUAUUACUUCGUUAUCACCCCCAGAAAUGUUUCUUUUAUAUGAAAGAAUGUAUGUUUUAAGGGUAAUUGAUGUGUUUACGUGAGCCCUGAUCUCGUAAUAGGUGCCGCAUAAGAACUUUUGGAAAACAUAGUUAGAAUCUAUCUUGCUUAUUUCUCCCUCCCUCUUUUAUUAAUGCAAGGUUUUAUGCUGUUUUCAUUCUUAAAAUGAUGGGAAGAUAACACAUUGUAUAGUGUUGCUGCAUUGCUAGUUCUUUGCAUUGCUAGGACUGUUACUCUUACCACAUUUUGUAAAAGGAAAUUUGUGCGCCAUUCAUACAUAUCCAUUGCUAUAUAAGAACAUUCCACUAAAGCUGUAAAUUAAGAUUUUUAAAUUUAAAAAGUGGGGAUUUGGGUUUGGACAAAUUACCAUUAUAAUUUUUUUAAUAAGCCUAAUAGAGGCCACUCACAAAAAUUAAGUAGAUAACGUAGGAAAUAAUUUGACGUUGCCAUGGCUUGACAAGUCCCAUGUGUUCAAAAUAAAAGCUAGACUGCAUGAGGUUCUUUUUAAAUAGUAAAUUUGAGAGAUUUCUUCGUUUGCCUUUUGGUCUUUGAGUCUUUGGGUAUAGUUACUUUGCAUAUUCAAGCUUUUCUUCACAACCAUGAACGCCAGAAUUUCUUUUAAAGAUGCAAGAUGAAAUUCUUAUGUGGUUAUAUGAAUCAAGGAGCUGAGACCUUAAAACACAACAAAAAAACAACUUACCAUGGUAUUGUGACAUUAUAAAAUUAUGAGUUGGCAACAUGGAGUAUAUCUCUGUAGGUUAAGCUUGAAUACCUUUGGAGUAGAGUGUAAAUUUAUAGCAGCUUUCAUUCUUUGAGCUUAUCGAAUAAAAUAUGCAACUAAUAAACAUCAAAGGUGAAAUCCUUCCCAGUAAAACUUCAAAAAACUUCAAAACUUAGUAAAACUUCAAAAAAAUGCCCUUUUAUUUUAUUUUCGAAGAGAAGGAGCCAAACAAAACAAUAUCUGGUUUCACAAAUUAAAUUGCAAUAGUUCCACAUAUUCCACAUGCUAUUGUGUCAGUGACUCUGACUUUGGGCCCAGAACUAUCGAAAGUGAACUCAUAUCUUCAUCUUUCACUUUAUAUCCUCUAGGAUUUUUUAAAUUAAUUCUGAGUAAUUGGGUAAGUAAAUUGAAAGUUAAGCAAGUUAUUUCAGUGCUAAAGUUCCUUUUUGAUGAAAAAUUUUGAGGCAUGUGGAAUGGAAAUAUACAGAUUUAAGACCUACAUUUUCAACCCAUUUUACAGGGUUUCAGCUGUAUGACUCGUUACAGCAGAUGUAAUUCUCUGAUGAUAAUUAUAUUUUUCUGUUCUAAACUGUGCUCUAAAAAAGGACAGACUUGCAUUUAUCAAAGCCAUUGGGAAUUCAAUUUAAUUUUGAUUUUUUUUCUUUAAGUAUUUUUAAGAGGGUUUUUUUGAUCAAAAAGAAAUGGCUUCUUGUAAUGUGUGAGAUGUAAACUAAAUUGUGUUAAUGGCACUCAAAACAACAGCAUUAUUUAGCCCUUCAAUAAGGCUGUUUAUAUUUAAAAACUUAUAGUAAGGUAGCUUCCAGCUUUCUUUGCCAUUUACCUGGUGCUUCAGUUUUUCAAAAAAGGCAUGCUUAUACAGACAGAAUAAAAUGGCACAGUUAACACUGUUGCUCUUGGCUUUUGCUAUAAACAGCUUGGAGAUCUAGGAUAAUGUAAUUUGAAGAGAACUUCCCUCAUCUUUGCACUGUUCCAUUAAUUUUCUGUAAUCUAUCAACAAUCUCCACCAUGUAAAAACAUUGUAAGCAUCUUUCUCUUACACUGUAUCUUCUAGUAGUAUAUUGACUCUCAACCAGGGUGCCACAGAACCCAGGGUGCUGCCAGAUUCUUUGAAAGGUGCCACAGAGUGAGGAAAUAAGUGAGGUGUGGGGAGAUAAGCACAGGCUAAGGUAGAUUUGUCCUUGCUGGACAAUUCCUCUCCCCCCAACUGCCCAGGCUCUCUGCAAGGAGGUAAGCUGGAAUAUUUAAAAUAGGUUUGGUCAUGGGUGCCACUCAGAAGUUAUGAAGGCGUAACUCUAAACAGUACUGAGAUCUGUUAGUUGCUUCCUUGUAGAUGUUUCUUGAUCAUCUAGAAGAGGAAGGAGACCUUCCUCAGUUCAUCUAUUUUUGCUUCUAUUUCUCUCAUUCUUAAAAAGGGUAAAUAACCUAUUGUGGGCAAACGUGCCUUCUGUCAUUCAAAAUCUUCAAGCAGUUUGCGUUUAAAAAAUCUUGCAAAAUUGUUGGUUCAAAGCCUGUAAAGUCAUUCUCCCAUGUUUUCUGUCCAGUAUACUUGAUCAAAAUUGGAUGUCAUCAGUUUUUAUUAUAAAAUAGCUUUAUAGCACAUAAUGUUUUAGUUCUGUAUUAGAUUCAAAUCUAUCUUGACACUGGAUUUUCACAUUAUUCUGUUAAAUUUUCAAAAGCACCUAAGGGAUUUAGUCACAAAUGUACUAGACUGUGAAGCUUUGUUGCUUAAAGCAUCUAAUACUAUUUUUAACUUUGAGCCAAUCUUUCCUUCUAUAUGGCAGCUUUCUUUUAUUUAAACAUGCAAAAUACCUUUUAUGUAACAUUUUUAAGAGUCCCAAGGACAGUAAUCUAAAAUAGUUACCUAAAGCCCAGAAUUGCCAAUGAUGAACAACAGAAUCUUAAUGGAAAUGGUCCAAUGAUGAAUGACUCUUAAGUUAUACAGGUGGAUGUUUUCAAAAGUACCUGUGGGAUUUUGUUUCAGUGCAUGUAUACAUUAGAGCUACACUGACACAUUAAAACGUUUUAUCCAACAGGUACUGAACUUAAUGCACCGUAAUUACAGCGCAUGAAUGAACGUGUAGACAUGCCCUCUGUUAGAUGAGUAGGAGUUGAUGUAUGAUGUGUUUGAAAAGGAUUUUUCCUUUACUAGAAUAUAGCUUUCCUGCUUCUUUGGAAGGUCUAUUGCUUUUUCAUCAGAUGACUUUCCAAACGUAGUUAUUGAGGGAGUUCUUCAUGGGAUAUUCUAUCCUCAUUUACUGCCCAGGUAGAAGUAGUUC